rnacentral:rRNA from 1 species
CAAGGAAUUUUGCACAAUCGACGCAAGUCGGAUGCAGCAACGCCGCGUGGGGGAAGAAGGCCUUCGGGUCGUAAACCCCUUUUGUCGAGGGAAGAAGAUCUGACGGUACCUCGCGAAUAAGUCACGGCUAACUACGUGCCAGCAGCCGCGGUAAUACGUAGGUGGCGAACGUUGUCCGGAUUCACUGGGCGUAAAGCGCGCGCAGGCGGGCUGAUCAGUCUGGGGUGAAAUCUCUCGGCUCAACCGAGAGAGGCCCUCAGAUACUGUCAGCCUUGAGGUGCCUAGAGGAGAGUGGAAUUCAGGGUGUAGUGGUGGAAUGCGUAGAUAUCCUGAGGAACACCAGUGGCGAAGGCGACUCUCUGGGGGCAUUCUGACGCUGAGGCGCGAAAGCGUGGGGAGCGAACCGGAUUAGAUACCCGGGUAGUCCACGCCGUAAACGAUGAGUACUAGCUGUUCGUGGUAUCGACGCCUCGAGUAGCGAAGCUAACG